GACGAACCGUGCGAACGUUGUUCGGAAUCACUGGGCUUAAAGGGCGCGUAGGCGGGUCAUCAAGUCCGGGGUGAAAGCCCCCAGCUUAACUGGGGAAGUGCCUUGGAUACUGGUGGUCUUGAGGGAGGUAGGGGCAUGUGGAACUUCCGGUGGAGCGGUGAAAUGCGUAGAUAUCGGAAGGAACGCCGGUGGCGAAAGCGACGUGCUGGACCUCUUCUGACGCUGAGGCGCGAAAGCCAGGGGAGCAAACGGG
rnacentral:rRNA from 1 species